GAAUGGCCGAGUGGUCUAAGGCGCUGCGUUCAGGUCGCAGUCUACUCUUGUAGGAGUGGGUUCGUAUCUGACAUAAUUAUACA